rnacentral:rRNA from 1 species
CACGUAGGGGGCGAGCGUUGUCCGGAUUUAUUGGGCGUAAAGAGCUCGUAGGCGGCUCGGUAAGUCGGGUGUGAAACCUCCAGGCUCAACCUGGAGACGCCACCUGAUACUGCUGUGGCUAGAGUCCGGUAGGGGAGUGUGGAACUCCUGGUGUAGCGGUGAAAUGCGCAGAUAUCAGGAAGAACACCCGUAGCGAAGGCGGCACUCUGGGCCGAUACUGACGCUGAGGAGCGAAAGCGUGGGGAGCGAACAGG